CAGCCGCCGCGGUAACACGGAGGGUGCAAGCGUUAAUCGGAAUUACUGGGCGUAAAGCGUGCGUAGGCGGUUCGUUAAGUCUGUUGUGAAAGCCCCGGGCUCAACCUGGGAAUGGCAAUGGAUACUGGCGAGCUAGAGUGUGUCAGAGGAUGGUGGAAUUCCCGGUGUAGCGGUGAAAUGCGUAGAGAUCGGGAGGAACAUCAGUGGCGAAGGCGGCCAUCUGGGACAACACUGACGCUGAGGCACGAAAGCGUGGGGAGCAAACAGGAUUAGAUACCCCUGUAGUCCCUGUCUCUUAUAC
rnacentral:rRNA from 1 species